rnacentral:rRNA from 1 species
AAACACCGGUUCUCGUCCGAUCACCGAAGUUAAGCAACGUCGGGCGUGGUCAGUACUUGGAUGGGUGACCGCCUGGGAAC